CUUUGUUGCUCUCAAAUCUAGCAAAAGGAAAAACCCUAACAACACUGCCGCCAUCUUCACUAACUCACUCACCACCACCACUGAGGAACAUAUUAGAUCUGUUAGAUGCAUAAAUCAAAAACAGCGAAUCAGUCUCAAAAUCCGCCUCCUCUUCAUUCACUCCUUUUACUGAUUUCUUUUUCUUCCUCACCCAUUCUCAGAUCUGUAACCUCAUCUCCUGUAAAUGGUUUCAGCAAAUAUAGAUCGGCUGAUACUCAUUAUUAAUCGUGUGAUUCUUAAUGUUUAUUAUUAAGAAACAAGAUAGAGCUAUAGUAUUGAAUUAAGACAUUAUUGUAGCAAUGGCUCCUCUGGGACUCACCAACAACAGAAGAAUUAUCAGAAUAUUUACAAGCAAUUAGAUGGGGGUUGGAUUCGUAAUGAGGUUUUUAACAAGAGGGUCAGAAGAGGACUGGAGAAUUUGAUGAGAAAACGGCCUUCAAAAAGGCUAAUGAUCCCCCUCAACAGUUGGUAGAAGCCAAACUGGAGGAACAAACCAGUACAUAGAGGAAUUGUUCAGUUUUUCCCAUUGAGCAAGCUCAUGUGCAACAAAAUUACAAUAAUGAGAAGCAUUUGAAGAGGCUUAAUGCGAUGCUCAAUAAACUUGGAGGCGCAUUUAGCAUACCGGAUUGGAUUCAAUGAGAUUGGAUAACGGUUGAAUGUUGCAAAUCGGAAUCUCGGUAUUGACAAGAUGUGGAAGGCUCCCCAGAAUAAAUAUUUUGUGCCCUGUGUUGAUCAUACUCCUAAGUAUUCAUGUAAAUAAGCUCAAUCUUUGUUGAAUAUACCUGUGUUUGCUUCUGCUGUGUAAAUUCAACGACACCAA